GAGGUACUCUCUCUGUCCUAAAAUUCUUGUCUUAGAUUUGUCUACAUACGGAUGUAUCUACUCAUAUUUUAGUGUUAGAUACAUCCGUAUCUAGAUAAAUUUAAGAUAAUAAUUUUUGGACGGAAGAAGUAUAUA
rfam:Triticum aestivum genome assembly, contig: Triticum_aestivum_CS42_TGACv1_scaffold_158620_2DL